rnacentral:rRNA from 1 species
UACGUAGGGUGCAAGCGUUAAUCGGAAUACUGGGCGUAAAGCGUGCGCAGGCGGUGAUGUAAGACAGUUGUGAAAUCCCCGGGCUCAACCUGGGAACUGCAUCUGUGACUGCAUCGCUGGAGUGCGGCAGAGGGGGAUGGAAUUCCGCGUGUAGCAGUGAAAUGCGUAGAUAUGCGGAGGAACACCGAUGGCGAAGGCAAUCCCCUGGGCCUGCACUGAUGCUCC